GGAUCCAGACUUUGAUUAUGGCUCAGGAUGAACGCUGGCGGCGUGCCUAACACAUGCAAGUCGAACGGAGCUGCUUUGAUGAAGUUUUCGGAUGGAUUUAAAACAGCUUAGUGGCGGACGGGUGAGUAACGCGUGGGUAACCUGCCUCACACUGGGGGAUAACAGUUAGAAAUAGCUGCUAAUACCGCAUAAGCGCACGGUUCCGCAUGGAACAGUGUGAAAAACUCCGGUGGUGUGAGAUGGACCCGCGUCUGAUUAGCCAGUUGGCGGGGUAACGGCCCACCAAAGCGACGAUCAGUAGCCGGCCUGAGAGGGUGAACGGCCACAUUGGGACUGAGACACGGCCCAAACUCCUACGGGAGGCAGCAGUGGGGAAUAUUGCACAAUGGGGGAAACCCUGAUGCAGCGACGCCGCGUGAGUGAAGAAGUAUUUCGGUAUGUAAAGCUCUAUCAGCAGGGAAGAAAGUGACGGUACCUGAAUAAGGAGCCCCGGCUAACUACGUGCCAGCAGCCGCGGUAAUACGUAGGGGGCAAGCGUUAUCCGGAUUUACUGGGUGUAAAGGGAGCGUAGACGGCAAGGCAAGUCUGAAGUGAAAGCCCGGUGCUUAACGCCGGGACUGCUUUGGAAACUGUUUGGCUGGAGUGCCGGAGAGGUAAGCGGAAUUCCUAGUGUAGCGGUGAAAUGCGUAGAUAUUAGGAAGAACACCAGUGGCGAAGGCGGCUUACUGGACGGUAACUGACGUUGAGGCUCGAAAGCGUGGGGAGCAAACAGGAUUAGAUACCCUGGUAGUCCACGCCGUAAACGAUGAUUGCUAGGUGUAGGUGGGUAUGGACCCAUCGGUGCCGCAGCUAACGCAAUAGGCAAUCCACCUGGGGAGUACGUUCGCAAGAAUGCAACUCAAAGGAAUUGACGG
rnacentral:rRNA from 1 species